rnacentral:pre_miRNA from 1 species
GUUGAGGGGAAUGUUGUCUGGUUCGAGAUCAUUUCUCUUGCUCUUGCUUCCAUGGGGUUGCUGAUCGAGCUUUGAUCGCAUGCGUUCAUGCGAAACUGGAUUGGUGAUUUCGGACCAGGCUUCAUUCCCCUCAAC